GACAGAGGGUGCAAACGUUGUUCGGAAUUACUGGGCGUAAAGCGCGUGUAGGCGGUUCGUAAAGUCGGAUGUGAAAGCCCUGGGCUUAACCCAGGAGGUGCAUUCGAAACUCACGAACUUGAGUCCCGGAGAGGAAGGCGGAAUUCUCGGUGUAGAGGUGAAAUUCGUAGAUAUCGAGAGGAACAUCUGUGGCGAAGGCGGCCUUCUGGACGGUGACUGACGCUGAGACGCGAAAGCGUGGGGAGCAAACAGG
rnacentral:rRNA from 1 species